rnacentral:rRNA from 1 species
AUUUUUGCCAAUGGGGGUAACCCGGAUCCAGCAAGGGCGCGUACAGUAUGAAGGCCUUCGGGUAGUACCCUGCGUUUGUACGGAGCGCAAAGUCUUGGGCUAGUACCCUGGGAUCAUGACGGUACCGUAAGAAUAAGCACCGGCUAACUACGUGCCAGCAGCCGCGGUAAUACGGAGGGUGCAAGCGUUAAUCGGAAUUACUUGGCGUAAAGCGUGCGCAGGCGGUUUUGUAAGACAGUGGUGAAAUCCCCGGGCUCAACCUGGAACUGCCAUUGUGACUGCAAGGCUGGAGUGCGGCAGAGGGGGAUGGAAUUCCGCGUGUAGCAGUGAAAUGCGUAGAUAUGCGGAGGAACACCGAUGGCGAAGGCAAUCCCCUGGGCCUGCACUGACGCUCAUGCACGAAAGCGUGGGGAGCAAACAG